rnacentral:pre_miRNA from 1 species
AUACAGGGCAAUCUGUCUUACAGUUAGGAUAAACUACUCUAAAAGAAAAGAAUAUUGAUAAUUUUCCGCUAAGUUUCUUGU